rnacentral:tRNA from 1 species
GGCCAGUUAGCUCAGUCAGUUGAGCGUGGUGCUGAUAACACCAAGGUUGUGGGUUCAGUUCCCAUUCGGUCCU